rnacentral:rRNA from 1 species
GAUGAACGCUGGCGGCGUGCCUAAUACAUGCAAGUCGAGCGAACAGAUGAGGAGCUUGCUCCUCUGACGUUAGCGGCGGACGGGUGAGUAACACGUGGAUAACCUACCUAUAAGACUGGGAUAACUUCGGGAAACCGGAGCUAAUACCGGAUAAUAUAUUGAACCGCAUGGUUCAAUAGUGAAAGACGGUUUUGCUGUCAUCUAUAGUUGUAUCCGCGCCGCAUUAGCUAGUUGGUAAGGUAACGGCUUACAAAGGCAACGAUGAGAAGCCGACCUGAGGGGGGAACCGCCCACAUGGGAACUGAGACACGGCCCAGACUCUUACGGGAGGAAGAAGUAGGAAACCUUCCGCAAGGGGCGAAGGCCUGACGGAGAAACGCCGCUGAGGGGAUGAAGUUCUUCGGUUCGUAAAACUCGUUUAUUAGGGAAGAACAAAUUGGGAAGUAACUAUGCACGUCUUGACGGUACCUAAUCAGAAAGCCACGGCUAACUACGUG